GACGAACGCUGGCGGCGUGCUUAACACAUGCAAGUCGAACGGAAAGGCCCUGCUUUUGUGGGGUGCUCGAGUGGCGAACGGGUGAGUAACACGUGAGUAACCUGCCCUUGACUUUGGGAUAACUUCAGGAAACUGGGGCUAAUACCGGAUAGGAGCUCCUGCUGCAUGGUGGGGGUUGGAAAGUUUCGGCGGUUGGGGAUGGACUCGCGGCUUAUCAGCUUGUUGGUGGGGUAGUGGCUUACCAAGGCUUUGACGGGUAGCCGGCCUGAGAGGGUGACCGGCCACAUUGGGACUGAGAUACGGCCCAGACUCCUACGGGAGGCAGCAGUGGGGAAUAUUGCACAAUGGGCGGAAGCCUGAUGCAGCAACGCCGCGUGCGGGAUGACGACCUUCUGGUUGUAAACCGCUUUCGCCUGUAACGAAGCGUGAGUGACGGUAAUGGGUAAAUAAGCACCGGCUAACUACGUG
rnacentral:rRNA from 1 species